CGCCACCCGCUGAACGGUGAAUCCAUGCACACCCUCUCCGACGACCUCCCGGGCACGCCAUCGCUGGCAACGGUGAGGACCACACACUCCGUCCACCAUCGGCCACCAGCAGUAGCCGGACCACCACCGUUGUCUGUCCUCUUUGAUGCAAGAUCCACGCUGCUUCACUUCGUCCAGGCCUUCUGCUGAGCAAGCUCUGUAACUGCUGCAAGGGACCUUGGUUGGUGGUCAGAAUGUGAGGCUUUCAUCGAGAAGAAGACCUUCGAACAAACAAACUCAGGUUAAUUCUUGCGUACCGAGCUUAUAUCAUGUCUUGAGUUGUAUAUAUACUAGAGGUAAAGUGGGUAAUAUAUAACAUGUGAACAUUUUCAGCCUCAGGAAGCCAGCCAGUUGUAUGUCCAGUUCUCCACUAUAAAAUUGUUUGCUGCCUGUUUUCGCCUCUUUCUUUGAUAUAUAACAAUGCCUAGAACAUAAACGAGUGUGUUUCUAUAUUUACUUUCCCUUUAGGAUGGUGGAAAUUCAUAUUCUAUUCAAAAGCACUUCAUGUACAUGGUCAAAUGCUUCAGAAACAGUAGUAUGCUACUUCACUUUUUAUCUUCCUGGGGGUUCUGAUUCAUCUGUAUUAACUAAAGAAGCUUGUGAUAUUAUUUUCAUUAGCACAGUGCAAAUCAAACCGAAAAAAUGCACAUGCUUGCCCUUUGUAAAGAACCACUAUUACUAUAUAUGCUCUACUUUGUACAGAAUCAUAUGUAUAUUAUGCUUGCCCCUAAAUUGUUGCUUUAUGCUGAACCACUAUUACUAUAUUAUGAUUUGAUAUGAGAUUUGGUGCUUGAAUCAAGUAUUUAUGGAGACCAUGCCCUUAUGCAAGUCUUCAGGCCUUGCUGGGUUGUUUUAUUGUUCUGAAGGCAUCAUCAUGUGUGAUUGUAGUUACAUUGCCUCCUUCACACUUACAUCCACCAUCAAUCAGUUAGACACUCCCUUUUUUCCAAAUAAAAUCAAGUGAAUGUUGUACUCCCAAACCAAUUAGCGCAUUUCGGUUUGAUAAAUACCGUGCAUUGAUCCCUGCACUUUUGACAAAUUUAUAUUCUCAUGACAUCUCCGGUUUACUCCCGUUCUUUUUUCUGUGCUUCUCGGAUCUGGAAGCUCCAUAGAGACAUGGAACCUGUCAUCAUUUUGUCAGACUAAGCGUGGAGUUACUUGUGCAAGUUACACCAUCAGCAAACACAUGAAGACCUGCAUGCUAUCAUCGCAAGUUGAGCAUUUACAUGCUCUAAGUUAAUCUGAUAGGGAGAAAACAAAGGCUUGUGCGCCCAUUAGUAAUUUUUUGUUUUAUAAUAGUGGGCACCUUAUAUAUCUGUAACAUGUGACCUUUGCAACUGCAAAGGUGUUGGGCGAUAAAAAUUCUGUGUAACACAUGUUCUUAUACACUAUGCUUAUGUAUAGAUAUUACUCUCUUUUUUGUGGCCUUGUGUGGUAUAUAUUGUAAAUAAAUUAUCAUGAACUAUUGAGCCUUUCACUUUUUC
rnacentral:rRNA from 1 species